CCAGAACCUGUGUUUACAACAGAGGCACCUACUGGUACUCAAACAUCAGAACCAGCGUUUGUGUUUACAACUGAAGCACCCAGUUCAACAACAGAACCAACAGAAGCUAGUGGAAACAGCAGUACUAUUGGUAGUGGCAGUGGCCAGCUGGAUCUAGACACGUGUGUAUCAAAUCCAUGCCAGAACAAUGGGACAUGUAGUGACGUCAUCAAUGGUUAU